CGUUAGCGGCGGACGGGUGAGUAACACGUGGGUAACCUACCUAUAAGACUGGGAUAACUCCGGGAAACCGGGGCUAAUACCGGAUAACACAUGAAGCCGCAUGGUUUCAUGAUGAAAGACGGUUUUGCUGUCACUUAUAGAUGGACCCGCGGCGUAUUAGCUAGUUGGUAAGGUAACGGCUUACCAAGGCAACGAUACGUAGCCGACCUGAGAGGGUGAUCGGCCACACUGGAACUGAGACACGGUCCAG
rnacentral:rRNA from 1 species